ACUGGGGUGGCAGAGCAUGGUAAUUGCAAAAGACCUAAGCCCUUUUAACCAGGGGUUCAAAUCCCCUUCCCAGUU
rnacentral:tRNA from 1 species